rnacentral:rRNA from 1 species
UUCAUGGAGAGUUUGAUCCUGGCUCAGGACGAACGCUGGCGGCGUGCCUAAUACAUGCAAGUCGAGCGGACCGACGGGAGCUUGCUCCCUUAG